CACGUAGGGUGCGAGCGUUGUCCGGAAUUAUUGGGCGUAAAGAGCUCGUAGGCGGUGUGUCGCGUCGGCCGUGAAAACCUGCAGCUUAACUGUGGGCUUGCGGUCGAUACGGGCAUCACUGGAGUUCGGCAGGGGAGACUGGAAUUCCUGGUGUAGCGGUGAAAUGCGCAGAUAUCAGGAGGAACACCGGUGGCGAAGGCGGGUCUCUGGGCCGACCCUGACGCUGAGGCGCGAAGGCGUGGGGAGCGAACGGG
rnacentral:rRNA from 1 species